GGGAGAUCUACAAAGUCGUUGCUUAUGGUGAUGAUAUGUUAAUUUCAGUAGUAAACCCUUGUGAACCUAUUCUAGCAUUGUUCAAUUUGAUAGAAAAAUUGGGGGGAAUUUGGGCUAUAGAGUAAACAAUACUAAAUCUUGUGUGGUGCCCUUUCAUAUAUCGAUGCAAGAAGAAGAUAAUCAACUAAACUGUGACCUAGGGGGAAAAUCCAAAUAACAAGAACCAUACAUAACGUAAUACUGUAUUUUUAAGUAAACCAAAUGUAAGAUUCACAAGUGGCCAC